rnacentral:misc_RNA from 1 species
UAAACCUUCCGCUGGCGGUUUUUGCUAACCGCCCGCGGGUCCCUGGCGAGGGGAUGUUGCCGCCGCGCCCUCACGGGUGCGGGCAGGUUUCCCCCGCUUAAACGCGGAGAAAGCUAGCGGCCUCCGGCCACGACUGCGAGACUAGUAAAAUGCCUGUCCCUAAGUCGUGACCUACGAGUUGCCUGCCUCGAAACGUAUCAGGGCUUCACGGCCCUUUUUACCUGAC